AAUGUUUGAAACCAUUGACUUUUGAGUGAAUGUUUGAUCAUUCGUCUUAUUUAAAAAUUUUAUCCAAAUAUUAUUUAUUUUGUUACAAAUUGUUUUAUUACCAACAAAAUUUUAAGCAUGAUUUAUAUUUAUCAAUAUUUAGAUUAAUUUUUUGAAUAAGACGAAUGGUUAAACACGUGCUAAAAAGUCAACGGUGUCAAAUAUU
rnacentral:pre_miRNA from 1 species